rnacentral:sRNA from 1 species
CUUGGUCAUUUAGAGGAAGUAAAAGUCGUAACAAGGUUUCCGUAGGUGAACCUGCGGAAGGAUCAUUAGUGAAUCUAGGACGUCCAACUUAACUUGGAGUCCGAACUCUCACUUUCUAACCCUGUGCAUCUGUUAAUUGGAAUAGUAGCUCUUCGGAGUGAACCACCAUUCACUUAUAAAACACAAAGUCUAUGAAUGUAUACAAAUUUAUAACAAAACAAAACUUUCAACAACGGAUCUCUUGGCUCUCGCAUCGAUGAAGAACGCAGCGAAAUGUGAUAAGUAAUGUGAAUUGCAGAAUUCAGUGAAUCAUCGAAUCUUUGAACGCACCUUGCGCUCCCUGGUAUUCCGGGGAGCAUGUCUGUUUGAGUGUCAUGAACUCUUCAACCCACCGGUUUCUUGUAAACUGGCUGGUGUUUGGUUUCUGAGUGUUGCUCGUCCUUGUGACUGAGCUCAUUCGUAAUAUAUGAGCAUCUCUAAUUCGAAUUCGGAUUGACUCAGUGUAAUAGACUAUUCGCUGAGGACACACCUAGUGUGGCCGAAUAAGAUAAUUGUAGAAGCUUCUAACCCUUCUAGUCAUUUUAAGAUUAGACCUCAGAUCAGAUAGGACUACCCGCUGAACUUAAGCAUAUCAAUAAGCGGAGGAAAAGAAACUAACAAGGAUUCCCCUAGUAACGGCGAGUGAAGCGGGAAGAGCUCAAAUUUGUAAUCUAGCACUUUCAGUGUCCGAGUUGUAAUCUCGAGAAGUGUUUUCCGCGCCGGACCGCAUACAAGUCUGUUGGAAUACAGCGUCAUAGUGGUGAGAACCCCGUAACUGAUGCGGAUGCCCGGUGCUUUGUGAUACACUUUCGAAGAGUCGAGUUGUUUGGGAAU